UACGGGGGGAGCAAGCGUUGUUCGGAUUUACUGGGCGUAAAGGGCGCGUAGGCGGCCACCGCAAGUCGAUUGUGAAAUCUCCGGGCUUAACCCGGAAAGGUCAACCGAUACUGCGGGGCUAGAGUGCAGAAGGGGCAACUGGAAUUCUCGGUGUAGCGGUGAAAUGCGUAGAUAUCAAGAGGAACACCUGCGGCGAAGGCGGGUUGCUGGGCCGACACUGACGCUGAAGCGCGAAAGCCAGGGGAGCGAACGGG
rnacentral:rRNA from 1 species